GCAGGUGGCAGUACUUAGUUGUCCUUGGCUAAUCCCUAAACCUAAGCAGCAUCAGGCCUCAUUAAUCCUUGGAUGGGAGACCACCAGGGAAUCUCAAAGCUGUAGGCU
rnacentral:rRNA from 1 species